rnacentral:rRNA from 1 species
CCUACGGGCGGCAGCAGUGAGGAAUAUUGGUCAAUGGCCGUAAGGCUGAACCAGCCAAGUAGCGUGAGGGAAGACUGCCCUAUGGGUUGUAAACCUCUUUUGUCGGGGAGCAAAAGACGCCACGCGUGGCGUUCCGAGAGUACCCGAAGAAAAAGCAUCGGCUAACUCCGUGCCAGCAGCCGCGGUAAUACGGAGGAUGCGAGCGUUAUCCGGAUUUAUUGGGUUAAAAGGGUGCGCAGGCGGAAGAUCAAGUCAGCGGUAAAAUUGAGAGGCUCAACCUCUUCGAGCCGUUGAAACUGGUUUUCUUGAGUGAGUGAGAAGUAUGCGGAAUGCGUGGUGUAGCGGUGAAAUGCAUAGAUAUCACGAAGAACUCCGAUUGCGAAGGCAGCAUACCGGCGCUCAACUGACGCUCAUGCAAGAAAGUGUGGGUAUCGAACAGGAUUAGAUACCCUAGUAGUC